rnacentral:rRNA from 1 species
UAGGGAAUCUUCCACAAUGGACGCAAGUCUGAUGGAGCAACGCCGCGUGAGUGAAGAAGGUUUUCGGAUCGUAAAGCUCUGUUGUUGGUGAAGAAGGAUAGAGGCAGUAACUGGUCUUUAUUAGACGGUAAUCAACCAGAAAGUCACGGCUAACUACGUGCCAGCAGCCGCGGUAAUACGUAGGUGGCAAGCGUUGUCCGGAUUUAUUGGGCGUAAAGCGAGCGCAGGCGGAAUGAUAAGUCUGAUGUGAAAGCCCACGGCUCAACCGUGGAACUGCAUCGGAAACUGUCAUUCUUGAGUGCAGAAGAGGAGAGUGGAAUUCCAUGUGUAGCGGUGGAAUGCGUAGAUAUAUGGAAGAACACCAGUGGCGAAGGCGGCUCUCUGGUCUGCAACUGACGCUGAGGCUCGAAAGCAUGGGUAGCGAACAGG